GGCCUAAUGGUCUAGAAGUAUGAUUCUUCCUUCGGGUGAUACCCAGAUUUAUCGAAAUCUGCAUGGAAGAGGUCCUGGGUUCAAUUCCCAGUUAGGCCC